rnacentral:lncRNA from 1 species
CUUGGCUUCCUUCAAGGCUCAGUUCAAGGGCUAUAUAUCUCUGGAACCUUCUCUGAUUCUACACCCCCUCUUUAGAUGGCAUAAUGCCCUUUCCAUUCUCAAAAUACCAUGGCUGAAUUAUUCCUCUUCUCCCUAUCCUCCUCCAAAAAACUAGGGGUUCUUUUCUCUUUCUUUCUUUCUUUCUUUCUUUCUUUUUUUCUUUUUUUUUCUUUCUUUCUUUCUUUCUUUCUUUCUUUCUUUCUUUCUUUCUUUCUUUCUUUCCCUCCCUUCCUUCUUUCUUUCUUUCUUUCUUUCUUUCUUUCUUUCUUUCUUUCUGUCUUUCUUUCUUUCUUUCUUUCUUUCUUUCAUUCUUUCUUUCUUUCUUUCUUUCUUUCUCUUUCUUCAGAUGUAACCUGAGUCCCAAAGCUCAUUGGGUAAUGGAACACUCUUCUCUUGAUUGAGAUCAAUGCCCCAGACCUGCGAGAGAGUCCAGGCAGAAGGAAAGAUUUGGGCUUCUUCUGGCCCUUCAUUUUCUUUGAUCUCUGCAAUAACUUUGGGCACUUCUGGCUGCCACCUUCAAGAGAGAAGAUGGGUGAUAUCAAUCCCACUUCAGACUUCUGAAAGGGGAAUAAGAUUCUGAGAGGAAACUGACUUGAGAGGAGCUAGCAGUUUUCUAUCAUGUCCCUCUUCUCAGCUUGCUCCACUAGAGACAUUGGGGAAUUUCCCCUUUGGCUGAGAUCUGGAACUCUCUCUGUCUCUUAGUUGAACUGUUUCUUGUUUCCAAUAUGAAGGAAGAACUCCUUCAUUAGACUGUAGGCUCCUAGGGAAACAACAAAUGUGGGGGAAAACAUUUUUAUAGUAAAUUUCUUUGAUAAAGGCCUCGUUGCUCAAAUAUAUAGAGGCGUGAGCCAAAUUUAUAAGAAACACACAUCAUUUCCCAAUUGACAAAUGGUCAAAAGAUAUGAACAAGCAGUUUUCAGAUGAAGAAAUCAGUUAUCAAUACUCAUAUGAAAAAUGUUCUAAAUCAUUAUUGAUAAGAAAAAUGCAAACUAAAACAAUUCUGAGGUACCACUUCACACCUAUCAGAUUGGACAUAUGACUGUAAAGGAAAAUGAUAAAUGUUGGAGGUGAUGUGAAAAAAUUGGGAUGCUAAUGCAUUGUUGUUAGAAUUGUGAAUUGAUCUAUCCAUUCUGGAUUAAGAACUAUACCCCAAGGGCUAUAAAACUGUGCCUAGUCUUUGAUCCCAUAAUACUACUUAGUAGUGUAUAGUAGUUUGUAUCCCAAAGAAUUAAAAAGAAAGAAGAGGGGGAGCGACCAACUUGGUAAAAAAUAUUCAUAUCAACUCCCACUGUUGUGGCAAAGAAUUGGAAAUUGAGGGGACGCCCAUCCAUUGGGCUGAACAAAUUGUGAACUACGA